rnacentral:rRNA from 1 species
GUCCACGCCGUAAACGAUGCUAACUCGUUUUGGGCUUUAGGGUUCAGAGACCAAGCGAAAGUGAUAAGUUAGCCACCUGGGGAGUACGCUCGCAAGAGUGAAACUCAAAGGAAUUGACGGGGCCCGCACAAGCGGUGGAUUAUGUGGUUUAAUUCGAUGAUACGCGAGGAACCUUACCAAGACUUAAAUGGGGAAUUGACAGUUUUUAGAAAUAGAACUUUCUUCGGACAAUUUUCAAGGUGCUGCAUGGUUGUCGU